UCUCUUAUUGAUCACCAAUGUUUCUUAAGCUUCGUAUAAAAAAAAAUAUUUUACCAAUAAACAUAAGAUUGCUACAAAAAAUCUCCAAACAAAAGGCUGAUAUAAAUAUAAAAAUUGGUUAACAUCCCAUGAUGUUAGUUUCAAUAUUUUCUGAACAAAAAAGCUUAGCUAAUCAACAUCUCAAGCUAGACCAUGAUAUCAUGUUUUGUAUAACUUCCAUAGCAAAAUAAUAAUGAUCUUUUCCAUCUUCUAAACUUGUAUCUUGACUUGUAACUUCA
rnacentral:lncRNA from 1 species